GAAAUCUGCGUUUUGAUUAUGUUCCUGGAAACAAUAACUUUCUUUUAAGAUCUAAGGAAGAGGAAGACUUUCUGGAACAGUGGAAAGAACUUGUCCUGGGAAUCAAAAGAUGUGAAUCUUGAUUUCUACUAAAGAUGACCCUAGGAUUUCAUGAUGUGCUGGGCAAUGAAAGACCUUCUGCUUACAUGAGGGAGCACAAUCAAUUAAAUGGCUGGUCUUCUGACGAAAAUGACUGGAAUGAAAAACUCUACCCAGUGUGGAAGAGGGGAGACAUGAGGUGGAAAAACUCCUGGAAGGGAGGCUGUGUGCAGGCGGUCCUGACCAGUGACUCACCAGCCCUCGUGGGCUCAAAUAUAACAUUUGUGGUGAACCUGGUAUUCCCUAGAUGCCAAAAGGAAGAUGCCAAUGGCAACAUUGUCUAUGAGAAGAACUGCAGAAAUG
rnacentral:sRNA from 1 species